AAUUCUGAAACAUGACGCACUUCAUACGUGCUUUUCAUAACAUAGAAAGGCUGCUUAAUUCCAUUACAAUAGCAAAUGCAAACAGGUAGUCCACUGUUUGCUUAUUGACACCAAAACACAGGAGCUAAGAGUGCAGCUUAUUCAAUUCAUCCGACUAGUUUUUCUUCGCGAACUGAGCCUGAAGCCAGUCGAUGGUCUUCUUGUCCACUUGGAAAGCCUUGGCGAGGAUUUCAUCCGAGAUGGGGGGAUUCGACCCGAACACAGCAUCGGCGAUGGUGAUGGUGCCAGGGUUUUGGCUGCUGAGAGCACCGAUGGCGAAGGUGUUGGUGUGCCCAGGGUUGAACUGGAAGUGGAUGAGGCCUUGGGGGAACACAAACACAUCACCCUUCUUCAGCAUCUUGGUGAAGAGACGGUUGCCGUCGUCGCUGUUGGAUGUGACGAAGCCGACCAAGAGCUGUCCCUCUAUGACGGUGAGGAUCUCGGUGGCACGGGGGUGAGUGUGGGGCGGGUUGAGGCCAUUGGGGAUGUAGUCGAUGCGAACCAUGGAGAUGCCGAGGGUGUUGAGCCCUGGAAUCUGGAUCACGUUGGCAGGCGUGACAUUGAACCCGAAAUUGUUCUUUCCUGUAUCGCCGGGCAUGUCGAGGCCAGAAAGAGAGAAGUCGUCGGCUUUCACAACCAUGGGGUCCUUGCAGACGAAUCCAUUCACCCGCACUGCAACAGCAGAAGGAAGAAGCAAACUCGGUCGGUAAACAUGCAUCAGGAGAACAAACGCACCGAAGGAAAUUAAUCUGGAUACUAUGAAUACCUUUAGACAUCAUAUCUGCGACACAGAAGUCUUGAAGUUGGCUAGGAUCGGAAGCCAUUGCAAGAGAGGAAGCCAUGGCGAGGAGAACAAGGAGAAACAUUUCGGCGGCCAUCUGUAAUCUCUUAGAUGGAUGGGAUUACCUGGUGCCGUGAUACAGUGGCCUGGAAGAGACGGGUAUAUAUAGAGAAGCAGGCUCUGAAACAUUCAUGAUCAUUAGGUGAAGGAGAUGAAAAGUAUACCAUGUUAGGUUGCUUUCUUCUUGCAAUAUAUUUUCUAUAGCCGUCACCUCGUACGAGAUCCAUAUGAUGCACAGUAACCAUUAAAUUUGUUGACGUGUCUCAGUAACCUAAUCCAUGACCAUUUUAUAUGUAUAUAUAUAAUGAUGGAGCUUUUAGUUAGAUCAUGCUGUAGUGUAAAAUGGACUCUUACGUUCGACUGCAUAAUCCACCACGUGAGAUUUUUGUGACGACCUUACGCUACCAAACAAGAGGAGAAGUCAGCAAAGAUGUGGCAGCUGAACAGAACAAGCUAAGGACAGGUAGAAAGAACAAGAAGCCAAAGAUGUGAUUACCAAUUUGACCUUGUCGGGUCUUGUGUACUGCUACGGCUGAUACCGUGUAUUAUAAUUAAGGUGUUCUACGUCAUCUCCGACUAUUUUCAUCACACUGAGACGUCGCGUGCAUGUUGCAAAGAAGUAUGUAAAUACGUAAGUUCUUAAGAGAUUAUAAGUUGAUAUAAUGCUGUCCAAGAAUAGUAAGCAUGUUGAUAGUUGCCUCUACGUUAAACGCUUAUGGGAUCCUAAGUUAUUAAGAGAUCAUAAGAGAUUUUAAAAAUACUAAAUCUUCGUAUAUAGGUAUACAAGAAUAUUGUACGAUUUAGAUAAAAUCAAUUAUAUUCGUGAUAAAAAUCAAUGAGGUUAGGUGAGAUAAAAUAUUUUUUUUAAUUAAAUAUCUAAAGUAAAAUUAACAUAUCAACAUUACAUUGUUCACAUAAAAUUUAUAAUCAUAUUAUCUAUAAUACGAAAAAAAAAUUAUGUCAAAAUUUAAAAUCAAAUAAUAAUGGAUCUAAAUAAUAUUACGAUGCAUACCUUUCGUUGUUAUUUAGAAGAAUAAAUAUUAUCUGAUCUACAGGCGUAUCAUCGUCGGAUCUAAAUGAAAUACUUCUAUUUAGCCCUUAAGAUCAUAUCUAUUUAUAAACAAAAACAAAGAGUCUAAGAUAAGAUAUUAGAAGAAUUCCUCCCAUAAGGAUAUCCUUGGAAUCCUACUAUAAUAUGAAUUUUUUUUUUAUUAAUCAAUAAUCAUAAUCAGAAUUCAAUCAUAUCUAUAAUAUAUUUUACCUAAUUAAAUAUGACCACACAAUCUAACACUCAAUCAUAAAUCCACGAAUCAUAAAUCCAUAAAAAACCAGAAUUUUUGAACUCAUUUCAACCGAGUUCCCAAAAAGUUUAUUAAGUAAAUAAGAUAUUAUUAUGAAUACAAAACAUUUUAAAGUUUUAUAGAUGAUAAUUCUUUUCUAGAAGGUUCUGCCAGCGAGGAUGAAUAAAAAAAAAAGAAAAAUAUCGAUAUAAUAUUUGUAAUUUAUAUAAAUAUAAACAUUUUUCGUCCAUCCAACUCAGCGACCUCUCUGGCAAUCAGAAAGAUUUCAAUAACGAUCAAACAAAGGCUAAUCGAUUAUUUCAGUCAUCAGAUUUUGGUGGCAACGACAUGUUACCAAACACCAUAAAGAAGCUCUCAAAGUCCGACCACGAGACAAGACAAAGUUGCCAGUACGAAUCCGUCUCCGUUCUUCGACCUCGUUCCAUACUGUAUAUUACGAUCGAAGUGAACUGUGUCAUCUUCAACUAUUUCACCAUCACACUGUUUAUAUAUUAUUAUGGUCUAUUUGUGAUCACAACAUAAGAGUUCAAAUUCAUAAUUAUAUUUCAUUUUAGUAAAUGAAUAAAUUGGAGUGAUUGAUACCGCCGGUUAUAGGUGGAUGCAAUCGAGCCAUAUACUACUACUGAACUUUGUAGAUCCCAUGUCAUACAAGUCAAGACAAAAGCACUCCUUUCGGGAAUUCUUGGUGAUGACUUGUUGAAGUUAUGAUCGUGUAUACAAUAUCUCAUGUUUCAGUCAUAAUAUUUGCAUAAAUUGACUUAUUACCGGUAUAUUUUAGUAAAGUUGUCUGCAUAGAUAUAUAAAGUUCAUGAACCUGAGGGAGGAUAAACAUAAGGUGGAUAAAGAAGUAUGCAUAUAUAUAUAUAAUAUGAGAUAUUACACUUUUUGAGGAUGCUGCACUCCAUAUAAUCUAUAAUCUUCCAGGUGGGAAAUACUAUCAUAUGAUCUAAAUAUUGAAAUAUGACUCAUGGAUUUCUUUCUUAAAAAUCAAGUUUUAUUUAUUAUAUUUAAUGACGUGUUUAUAUGAAAUUUGCAACAGUACACCAAUCGUAUGUCAAUAGAGAUGACUCGAGAAUUCUGAAACAUGACACACUUCAUACGUACUUUUCAUAACAUAGAAAGGUCUCUUAAUUCCAUUACAAUAGCAAACGCAAACAGGUAGUCCACUGUUUGCUUAUUCACACCAAAACACACGAGCUAAGAGUGCAGCUUAAUUCAUUCCUCCGACUAGUUUUUCUUCGCGAACUGAGCCUGAAGCCAGUCGACAAGCUUCUUGUCCACUUGGAAAGCCUUGGCGAGGAUUUCAUCCGAGAUGGGGGGAUUCGCCCCGAACACAGCAUCGGCGAUUGUGAUGGUGCCGGGGUUUUGGCUACUGAGAGCACCGAUGGCGAAGGUGUUGGUGUACCCAGGGUUGAACUGGAAGUGGAUGAGGCCUUGAGGGAACACAAACACAUCACCCUUCUUCAGCAUCUUGGUGAAGAGGCGGUUGUCGGUGUUGGAUGUGACGAAGCCGACUAAGAGCUGUCCCUCUAUGACGGUGAGGAUCUCGGUGGCACGGGGGUGAGUGUGGGGCGGGUUGAGGCCUUUGGGGAUGUAGUCGAUGCGAACCAUGGAGAUGCCGAGGGUGUUGAGUCCUGGAAUCUGCAUCACGUUGGCAGGCGUGACAUUGAACCCGAACUUGUUUCCGGUAUCGCCAGGCAUGUCGAGGCCAGAAAGAGAGAAGUCGUCGGCUUUCACAACCAUGGGGUCCUUGCAGACGAACCCAUUCACCCGCACUGCAACAGCAGAAGGAAGAAGCAAACUCGGUCGGUAAACAUGCAUCAGGAGAACAAACGCACCGAAGGAAAUUAAUCUGGAUACUAUGAAUACCUUUAGAGUCCUUAUCUGCGACACAGAAGUCUUGAAGUUGACUAGGAUCAGAAGCCAUUGCCAGAGAGGAAGCCAUGGCGAGGAGAACAAGGAGAAACAUCUCGGUGGCCAUCUGUAAUCUCUUAGAUGGAUGGGAUUACUUGGGGCCUUGAUACAAUGGCCUGGAAGAGACGGGUAUAUAUAGAGAAGCAGGCUCUGAAACAUUCACGAUCAUUAGGUGAAGGAGAUGAAAAGUAUACCAUGUUAGGUUGCCUUCCUCUCGCGAUAAUAUUGUCUAUAGCCGUCUCCUCGUACGAGCUUCAUCUGAUGCAGGGUAACAAAUAGGUUUUUUGACGCUGUCUCAGUGAUUGCUUGAAUGCAUGCGUUCGCCGACAAAGAAAAAUAGUUCUUUAGUUUAAUGCAUCCAACCUAAUCCAUGACCACAUCGUAUACACAAUAAUGGAGCUUUUCAACCUAAUCCGAAAUCCACCGGGUGAGAUUUUGGUGACGACGUCAAGAUACCAAGCACGAUGAGAAGUUUGCAAACAUGUGGGAGAUCAGGUGAACAAGAGCAAGGUUGUGUCAAAAGAACAAGACAAUAGUGUGUCGUUGCCAAUUUGACUUCGUCUGAUGCCGUGUAUUAUGAUUCAAGGUAUUCUUUGUCAGUACAAAGUAUGUAUGUAUGUAUAGCAUGCACAUCAGUGGUGACACCUUCCUUCCUUAUUGCGAUACCCAAUAUGACUGACUUCAUAUAAUGUUAAUCUUAGUACUUGAGAGAUGAAAAGAAGGGAAAAGAAUAGAAGAGAAUAAUAUCAUAUUCAUAAAAAUUGAGAGAAUGGAAUUACAUAUAUUGGAUUUAGCACACAUCCCAACAAGAUUAACUUUUUGGGUUAAUUAGGUUACCGAUCUAUAUAAUUUUUACCCUGGCUAAGUUAAUUUAUCAUGAUCGAUUUCGACAAAUGAGUCAAAAAGAUUAAAGGAUACAGAUAUUAGUGGUAUUUUUUCACCUAAAUUAUUAGACCAACUUGAUUUAACUUGGAAAAAGACAAAAAAAAAAAGAUUUUGGAAACUGUUAUACUGCCUAAUUUUGAGUCAGUUCAAUCCUCUUGAAUCAGUUUCAAUUCUCUUGAUUGAAUUAUAGGUCAACUCUUUCUCUCUCUCUCUCUCUCAUUUGGGAAAGUGAGAUCAUUUGUAAUCAAGCAAAAUUUCUUGCUCUGAAUAAAUAAAAAAAACUAUAUAUAUCAAUAAAUCUAUACUAUUUUUUUAGUUUUUCAAUUGAACUAAAAUUCACUGUGUGAUUUUGUUAAACCAAAAAUACAUCUCUUAUGAUAGAAAUAGCAUUUGCUUCAUGUAAGGUCUUGAUUUCGUUAUUCUUCAAUUGAUGUGGGAUUUAUAUUUUGUAUCUUGUCUUAAAAUUCAUAUACUUGAUCUAAAAUUUAUGAUUUUAUUAUUAUCAUUAAUUUUCUUUAUCGAAAGAUUAGAGUACACGUUAAACUGCCUAACACGAAAUCAUAUGAUUUUGUGCAUUCAAAGUGGACCCAAAAGACAUCUCAGGAUAGAAAUAACAAUUGUUUGGAACGAAGCAAGAGACAUAUUCUAUCGCAAAAACAAUUGCAAAUAGUUAUCCACUGUUUGCUUAUUUAAAGCACAUAAUUUCAGCACGUCAUGUCAACUUGCAACAACGAAGCUUUCUAGUUGUUGUUGUCCAUCCAGAACUGAGCCUGAAGCCAGUCGAUGGUCUUCUUGUCCACCUGGAAAGCCUUGGCCAGAACAUCGUCAGAGAUGGGUGGCUUCGACCCGAACACAGCGUUAGCGAUGGUGAUCGUGCCGGGGUUUUGGCUACUAAGAGCACCGAUUGCGAUAGUGUUGCAGUUGCCGGGAUUGAACUGGAAGUGGAUGAGGCCCUCAGGGAACACAAACACAUCGCCCUUCUUCAGCAUCUUGGUGAAGAGACGGUUGUCGGUGUUGGAUGUGACGAAGCCGACCAAGAGCUGUCCUUCUAUGACGGUGAGGAUCUCGGUGGCACGGGGGUGAGUGUGGGGAGGGUUGAGGCCUUUGGGCCCGUAGUCGAUGCGAACCAUGGAGAUGCCGAGGGUGUUGAGUCCGAUGAGCUUGUUCACGUUGACGGCAGUGACCAUGGAGCCGAGCUUGUUUACCGUGUUGCCGGCUUUGUCGAGUCCCAUGAAGAAGAAGUCUUCGGCUGUCACGUGCUUGGGGUCUUUGCAGACGAAUCCAUUCACCAGCACUGCAGCAGCAACAAGAAAACUCGAUCAGUAAACAUGCAUUAAUCGAAAUCGUGGACCUGCAGGUACGGUGUUCGAUCCUUAAACUCGCCUUUAGAGUCCUUAUCGGCGACGCAGAAGUCUUGAAGAGGGCUAGGAUCAGAAGCCAUUGCGAGAGAGGAAGCCAUGGCAAGGAGAGCGAUGAGGAGGAUUUUGGCUGCCAUCCCUGUAAUCUUCAGGACGGAUGAAGCUACAAUUGGUGUUGUGAUACAAAUGCACGAAGGAGAUGGAUAUAUAGAGAGGGGGAGGGGGAGAGAGGCAGGGUUGAAACAUUCUUGAUCAUUUGGUAAGAGAGCUGAAUAGUAUGCCUUUUGCUUAUAAUAAUAAUAAUGUCUAUGGACUGUGCGUGCUUCUUAUCUUGUGCAGAGAAAGAGUCUACCAAGAGGAGCUUAGUUAUUCUCCACUUGGUUUUGGUCAACGACUAUAUCUUGUAUGUAGUAAAUGCCAUUCAAUCGACAGCGUUUUGAUGAUGGCAGGUCGCUACCAAAUGCCAAGCAAAUUCAUGGAACCAGUGGAGCAUAUGGAUCCACCAGAAGUGCUAGUGAACCAAUGAUCUCAGUUUGACUUCAUCUAACAUCAAGUACUAAUAAUGGAAGGCGUUUUCUGUCACCUUCGAACAUGACCAGGACAAUGCGUGCAGCGACUUCAUCUAACAUCGAAUUCUAUAGUGCAAGCGUUCCGUGUGCGUUGACUGGCAUUAUAUAGAUCGCGUAUACGAGUACUGACACCUUCGCUCUUCGUCGCAACAUCACAUUGGAAAUCGUGUUCAUCGUUAUGUGAUACGUGAUGCGGUGGGUAAAAGAAGGCACACAUGAACUGAAACCUUCGUUCGACAUGUUCUUACAAUCGAGAAUGAGUCUGACUCGAUUUUGUUGAUUAGCAUACACUAAAAUUAAUAUAAAUUCAGCAUACACAAACUCAAUAUAUGUAAUUAGGCUCACUUAGUUAUUAUCUAUGGGACUAAUCUAACAACCUUCUCUUCAUAUAUAUUAGAAUCGAUGCUAAUUUAACUUGUAAGUUUAAGUGUGUAGAUUAUGGGUCAAACCCAAUAUAUAUAACCCAACUUUUUAAUUUUUGUUAGGCUCAUCUUCCUCAUCUUUUCAAUCUUCAUUUCACAUUUCAACAUUUCAUAAUAUUUCAAUAUAUUUUAAAUAACUUUAAUUGAGUUUAUAAUGAGCUCAAUAAAAUAGUAAAUCCUAAUUAUUCAGAGUCAUCCGAGUUUAACACUAACAAAUAGAUUUGCUGCAAUGUGGCUUAGCAAUUAAUAAUGAUCUCAUCAGUGAUCUCGCUCUCAAUUGUUGACUCUUAACAUGAUAUUUAUUUUUAGUCGGAAAACAUGAGGAUUAUUCCGAUCACUACAGAGAAAACAAACUGUAAUAACAUGCAAACGGCUGACUUCGAUCGAUCGCCAAGUGUUUGCUUAUUGGAAUGUUAACAUGGAUGUGAAGAAGCUGCAGUGGUGGUGUUUCUUCUGUUGUUGUUGUCCAUCUAGAACUGAGCCUGAAGCCAGUCGAUGGUCUUCUUGUCCACCUGGAAAGCCUUGGCCAGAACAUCAUCGGAGAUGGGCGGCUUCGACCCGAACACAGCGUUGGCGAUUGUGAUGGUGCCGGGGUUUUGGCUACUGAGAGCACCGAUGGCGAUAGUUUUGGUGUGCCCAGGGUUGAACUGGAAGUGGAUGAGGCCUUGUGGGAACACAAACACAUCACCCUUCUUCAGCAUCUUGGUGAAGAGACGGUUGCCGUCGUCGGUGUUGGAUGUGACGAAGCCGACCAAGAGCUGUCCUUCUAUGACGGUGAGGAUCUCGGUGGCACGAGGGUGAGUGUGGGGAGCGUUGAGGCCUCUGGGUGCGUAGUCGAUGCGAACCAUGGAGAUGCCGAG
rnacentral:lncRNA from 1 species